AACGGCCGCGGUAUCCUAACCGUGCGAAGGUAGCGUAAUCACUUGUUCUUUAAAUGAGGACUAGUAUGAAUGGCACCACGAGGGUUAAGCUGUCUCCUUUUUCUAAUCAGUGAAACUAAUCUCCCCGUGAAGAAGCGGGGAUUAUACUAUAAGACGAGAAGACCCUAUGGAGCUUAAAACAAAUUAACACUUGCUUCUAUCCAUUUUUACUCCUGAACUAACACAUAAAAUAUAGCAUCGUUGAUUAAUAGUUUUCGAUUGGGGUGAUCAUGGAGUAAAAACCAACCUCCACGACGAAAAGGAACACUUCCCUGAGCUAAAAGCUACAACUUUAAGCACUAAAAAAUUAACGCACUUUGACCCAAAUUUUUGAGCAACGAACCAAGUUACCCUAGGGAUAACAGCGCAAUCCAUUUCAAGAGCCCCUAUCGACAAAUGGGUUUACGACCUCGAUGUUGGAUCAGGGUAUCCCAGUGGUGCAGCCGCUACUAAAGGUUCGUUUGUUCAACGAUUAAAACCCUACGUGAUCUGAGUUCAGACCGGAGAAAUCCAGGUCAGUUUCUAUCUAUAAAGGGCUUUUUCUAGUACGAAAGGACCGAAAAAGCAUGGCCAAUGAUCAAUUAAGCCAUAUAAAUUACUCAUGUUUUCAACUCAAUUAGAAACAAACCUACCAUAAACCUCAAAAAAAGAGAAGUUAACGUAGCAAAACCUGGCCCUGC
rnacentral:rRNA from 1 species